UACGGGGGGGGUAAGCGUUGUUCGGAAUUACUGGGCGUAAAGGGCUCGUAGGCGGCCAACUAAGUCAUACGUGAAAUCCCUCAGCUUAACUGGGGAACUGCGUGUGAUACUGGAUGGCUUGGAUUUGGGAGAGGGAUGCGGAAUUCCAGGUGUAGCGGUGAAAUGCGUAGAUAUCAGGAGGAACACCAGCGGCGAAGGCGGCGCUCUGGGCCGGUACUGACACUGAGGAGCGAAAGCGUGGGUAGCAAACAGG
rnacentral:rRNA from 1 species